CAUAAAUAGUGACCAAAAAGGUACCGCUAUCGCAUGAGAGAAGCUAGAAACAAAUGAAAUUUACGCAUUUUCGACAGUUUUGUGGGACCAUCAUAUACAUACAACUUUAAAAGAUUUAAAGACAGAUAUUCAUAGAACGAAGAACAAAAAAGUGAACUUAUUCAUAUGCGGAUCUAGGAUAAAUUUUAAAAAGGGGGUAACCGGGGCACCAUC
rnacentral:lncRNA from 1 species